UUUCGUGGCAUGGGAUGGGGUCGCGUCCUAUCAGCUUGACGGCGGGGUGACGGCCCACCGUGGCUUUGACGGGUAGCCGGCCUGAGAGGGCGACCGGCCACAUUGGGACUGAGAUACGGCCCAGACUCCUACGGGAGGCAGCAGUGGGGAAUAUUGCACAAUGGGCGCAAGCCUGAUGCAGCGACGCCGCGUGCGGGAUGGAGGCCUUCGGGUUGUAAACCGCUUUUAUCAGGGAGCAAGGCUUUUGUUGAGUGUACCUGGUGAAUAAGCGCCGGCUAACUACGUGCCAGCAGCCGCGGUAAUACGUAGGGCGCAAGCGUUAUCCGGAUUUAUUGGGCGUAAAGGGCUCGUAGGCGGUUCGUCGCGUCCGGUGUGAAAGUCCAUCGCUUAACGGUGGAUCCGCGCCGGGUACGGGCGGGCUUGAGUGCGGUAGGGGAGACUGGAAUUCCCGGUGUAAC
rnacentral:rRNA from 1 species